UACUCCUACGGGAGGCAGCAGUGGGGAAUAUUGCUGACAAUGGGCGAAAGCCUGAUCCAGCCAUGCCGCGUGUGUGAAGAAGGUCUUCGGAUUGUAAAGCACUUUAAGUUGGGAGGAAGGGCAGUUACCUAAUACGUAAUUGUUUUGACGUUACCGACAGAAUAAGCACCGACGCUAACUCUGUGCCAGCAGCCGCGGUAAUAA
rnacentral:rRNA from 1 species